rnacentral:lncRNA from 10 species
GAUAACUCAUCACUCGGCUGGUAGGAAGUUGUUGCUUAUCUGAGGACAGCCAGAAAUGGCAGCAUGGCUCUCAGAAAGGAUUUGUAGUCAAAACCAGUAACUCUCUGGGUGUCGGAUGUGAACAAGGGCUGCUUAGUCCCGACCGUUACUUGCUUCUACUGUUUCUUGAACAAAGGGCUAUCUCUGCUUCCUGCUUCAAUAAAUGAGGUCCCUAUCGCUACAAGCAGUGAUGUGUUCCUCACCCUGCCCAAGAGCCUGCAGACACAAGAUGCCAGCAUUUGGUUAAAUUUGAAAAUCAUACUUAGAGAGGCCACAGAGAAAUGCAAGCUACAUCACAGUGGGACAUGUGAGAGGCUGUUACCAGAUGACAGAAAGCAAAAGUUACGUUUCCAUAGGAGAAAGGUAAGGGAAGACUGUGGGUCGAAGGAGUCAGCGUGGGGCAGGAAACAGCACCCCUGCUGGCUCUGAUUUGCAGAGGCCACCCCACCUCUGGGCAUGCGGUGGGAGCAUCAAAGCACAGUGCAGGAUGUUUGACUCCUUGGAGAGGUCUGUGGCUGUGACUGCUUGGCGGCAUUAGGGAAGGUAACACCAGCAUCACUAAUCA